UACGGAAGGGGGCUAGCGUUGCUCGGAAUUACUGGGCGUAAAGCGCACGUAGGCGGAUUGUUAAGUCGGGGGUGAAAUCCUGGAAGCUCAACUCCAGAACUGCCUUCGAUACUGGCGAUCUCGAGUUCGGGAGAGGUGAGUGGAACUGCGGAGUGUAGAGGUGAAAUUCGUAGAUAUUCGCAAGAACACCAGUGGCGGAAGGCGGCUCACUGGCCCGAUACUGACGCUGGAGGUGACGAAAGCGUGGGGAGCAAACAGG
rnacentral:rRNA from 1 species